rnacentral:rRNA from 1 species
AACGCUAGCUACAGGCUUAACACAUGCAAGUCGAGGGGCAUCAGGGAUUAGCAAUAAUCUGCUGGCGACCGGCGCACGGGUGAGUAACACGUAUCCAACCUUCCGAUAACUCGGGGAUAGCCUUUCGAAAGAAAGAUUAAUACUCGAUAGUAUAAGUUUCCCUCCUGGUUAACUUAUUAAAGAAUUUCGGUUAUCGAUGGGGAUGCGUUCCAUUAGUUUGUUGGUGAGGUAACGGCUCACCAAGACUACGAUGGAUAGGGGUUCUGAGAGGAAGGUCCCCCACAUUGGAACUGAGACACGGUCCAAACUCCUACGGGAGGCAGCAGUGAGGAAUAUUGGUCAAUGGGCGGAAGCCUGAACCAGCCAAGUAGCGUGCAGGAUGACGGCCUUAUGGGUUGUAAACUGCUUUUAUACAGGAAUAAAGUUAGCCACGUGUGGUUAUUUGUAGGUACUGUAUGAAUAAGGACCGGCUAAUUCCGUGCCAGCAGCCGCGGUAAUACGGAAGGUCCAGGCGUUAUCCGGAUUUAUUGGGUUUAAAGGGAGCGUAGGCCGUCUGUUAAGCGUGUUGUGAAAUGUAGAUGCUCAACAUCUGAAUUGCAGCGCGAACUGGCAGACUUGAGUGUGCGCAACGUAGGCGGAAUUCGUGGUGUAGCGGUGAAAUGCUUAGAUAUCACGAAGAACUCCGAUUG